AGGGAGCAGCAAGCCCUGGCCUAAGGAGCAGCCCAGCAGGCAGAUGUUGGGAAUAAGCAGAUCCAGCUAAACAGAAGCUAAUGAUUAGCUCUGAUUCCCAGCAGAAAGAUAAAAGUGAAGACCCAGUUUUUGAUGAGAAGGUGGGCUUGGAAUGUUUUCCUGAAUGGUUGUAACAAAGCAGGUAGCCCCUAUGAUCCCUCUGAAGCAAAAGGAAAGCUUUGAACCUUGAGCUCCUGGGAAGUAGAAGAUACUGCAAUAUCAGUCCAGCCUGUACAGAGGAGCAUCAGUACAUUGAAGAGCCACUGUGAUAACUUUUUAAUGAAAAAAUCUGAGGCAGUUGAAAGGGAAGACAUCAGCAGGGAAAGUCUGGCCUGCUAAGCCCUCGGAGGCUGAUUAAAGAAAAGAGGCUUCUGAGAGAGAAGCAUGUUAACCUAGAACUCAAUUCCAGAGAGGAGAGCUGAGGGCUACUGCUUAAGGACUAGAGAACCCAGGUCCAGAGAGGAGAGCUGGAGAGACUCUGGUUAAGGAAAGAAUGAAGGACUAAUUCAUACAGCCCAGUUCCAAAGAAGAGAGCUCAGGACUUUUGCUUAAGGAUGGACAGAAAGGAGUAGCACAGAAGGAAACAGGAAGAGUUCCAGGAACAGAGACUGCUUAUGGGUACAGGAAAGAAGAGUCUUAUGAAACAAGGAGACAGAGAUGACAAAUGUCUGAAUUCUCAAGCAGUCCCUGAACAGCAGCUAAAAUCAUCUCAAGGCAGGGAGCAAGAAGUCUCUUCAUCACGGGAGCAAGCCUAUGUCAUGUUCUUCUUGGUGCAAUUAUCACUUUCUCAGUGUAUCCACCGUGACACAUCUGUCUGUUGCUUCCUCACUUAAGGAUUCUUUGGAGUACAUUGAGAACUAUGCAGUCUUUUGAAUAUUCUGAAUUUUGGGUGCACACUGGUGAUGGAGGGACCUUGAAUUAGUUGCUUCAGGGGAAUUGUUGUGACUCAAGUGGGAUGAGCUUACUUUGUGGGAAGAGCUUGGAAGAGUACCACCAUCUCUCUGCACCCCACUGUAGUCUGACCCCUGCCUCCCCAGUGGAAGAAUUAACUGGAAACUCUAUAGAGUUGCAUUCCUCUAUGCACGUUAUUCCAGUCUAAGGUGUGAUACUUAUAUUUUCCAUCUCUUUUAUGUGGUUUUGCUCUGUUCACAACCUCCUGGAGUCAUAGCGUACUGCUGCAGUGGAAGAGAGUCUGAACUCAGAAGAAGUGACAGAAAAAAUGUAGCUGAAGAUGCCUCCAUUAUGGUGGAAUGAGCAGGUCUAACCCAUGAUUAACACCCAUACUAUUGGAUGCCAUACAUUAUAAUAUGGAGGCAAGGAAACUAAUUUUCUCUUGUCAUACUGAUUUACAUUAGAACAGAAAGAAUUUAGUUGUAAAAUUUGAUGUUUUCCAUCUGGCUGCAGAACAUAAAAUUGACUUUGCAUCAAUGAAGCUGAUGUGCCAGAUCGUCAGCUGAUAUAAUCAAUAUAGCAUCACUGACUUUAAUGGAUCUACACUGAUUUACAUCAGCUGAGGAACUGGACCAUUUUCUUAGUUCAUGUGAGUUUCAUAC